GGCUCAGUAGCUCAGUAGGUUAGAGCACGGGACUCAUAAGCCUGGGGUCGUUGGUUCGAAUCCGACCUGAGCCACCU
rnacentral:tRNA from 1 species